rnacentral:rRNA from 1 species
UGGGAAUUUUGGACAAUGGGGCAACCGUGAUCCAGCCAUCCCGCGUGUGCGAUGAAGGCCUUCGGGUUGUAAAGCACUUUUGGCAGGGAAGAAACAGCCUGGGAUAAUACCCCGGGCGACUGACGGUACCUGCAGAAUAAGCACCGGCUAACUACGUGCCAGCAGCCGCGGUAAUACGUAGGGUGCAAGCGUUAAUCGGAAUUACUGGGCGUAAAGCGUGCGCAGGCGGUUCGGAAAGAAAGGUGUGAAAUCCCAGGGCUUAACCUUGGAACUGCACUUUUAACUACCGAGCUAGAGUACGUCAGAGGGGGGUAGAAUUCCACGUGUAGCAGUGAAAUGCGUAGAGAUGUGGAGGAAUACCGAUGGCGAAGGCAGCCCCCUGGGAUGAUACUGACGCUCAUGCACGAAAGCGUGGGGAGCAAACAGGAUUAGAUA